AGGCAGACUUUUCAUCUGCGUGCGCGGACAAACGCAGAUGGCCUUUUUGUUUUGGACAUCUAAUAAAAGAGGCACAGAGCAAACACAAGAAUCGAAUUUACAGCGACAGACAGCCAGUGCUCACGACAGAAGGAACUAAACAAGGCCUUGGUGUUCUCCACCAGAGACUCAUAAAUCUUGUAUAUGAAGGGCGGCGCACUUUUUGCAGUGUUGUUAGACACAACGUCUAGAAGUGGGGCGAUGUGCGAUGUGAAUGUGACGUGGCGUUGGAUCUCGAUCUAUGAACGAAUGGGGUCUUUGUUACGAGUACUAGAUCAUUUCUCUUGCCCCCUGGC